GGAGUCCUUGAUGAGGAGGAAGGGAGUUCAACAGCAGGUGUACUGGACAAACAGGACGAAGAGGAUCUCACACUGUGGUGUUGUUGGCUAAACCUUGGACUGAACACAAAUUACAGGGCGGUCUUGAGGUUGACUUUGGCCUGGCGGUGGAGGUCUUCUACGCAGGGCGGCCUGCUGCCUGGCAGGAAGACGUUCUCCUGCUGGUGCCACGGCGCUGUGUAAUGAACUGUCCACUUGCUCUCCUCAUCCAGGUUAGACACCGCUGCAGAUACACACAAAGCAGUUAUAGAAUUUAGUUAGACUUGAGUUAAAUUUCCAAUGUUACUGACGCUAAUGGAUCUCCUGAAGGAUCUUUUAAUACUUCAGAAAGUUGCCAAGGUUAAAAAAACUAAAAAUAAUCCAGCCACAGUUUUUUUUAGAAGAGCUCACAUAUUCUCAAACCUUUAGAAACAGUAUAUCAUGGACUAGAAAAUGUACACGUAGUACUGGCUACUGGAGGGAUUUCUUUAUAUUUGGCGGUGAAAAGGAAGGGGAAGUGGAUUGAGGUGCUUUGCAUCAAGGUGUCAGUCUCCACACCAACAACAUGACACGUAUCUGAGACGUCACACAGUAGGCCACACAAGUCAGAGGGGGAGGAGGGGUGAAUUUGGAGGGAAACACUAACAAGAUGAUAUCCAGCUCAAACAGCCUACUAAAAACUUAGAAAUUAUAAAAGCUAACUUUUACUCUGAGAAACAAUAAGGCAAAAUGACAACACUGCACACACAAAGCACCUAGCAGAACUCAUUCAAUGGGUUUAACAUCAAGCUGGAUAAACAUACACUGCUGGCUAUCCAACAAUCUUUUUCAUCGCAAGGCAGGAAAAAGAACCCUUUUUCCUUGUUUUUUUGUAAUU